ACCUGGGUGGCUCAGUGGCUGAGCGUCUGCCUUCUGCUCAGGUCGUGGUCCUGUGGGAUCGAGUCCCACAUCGGGCU
rnacentral:tRNA from 1 species